GACGAACGCUGGCGGCGUGCUUAACACAUGCAAGUCGAACGGAAAGGCCCUGCUUUUGUGGGGUGCUCGAGUGGCGAACGGGUGAGUAACACGUGAGUAACCUGCCCUUGACUUUGGGAUAACUUCAGGAAACUGGGGCUAAUACCGGCUAGGAGCUCCUGCUGCAUGGUGGGGGUUGGAAAGUUUCGGCGGUUGGGGAUGGACUCGCGGCUUAUCAGCUUGUUGGUGGGGUAGUGGCUUACCAAGGCUUUGACGGGUAGCCGGCCUGAGAGGGUGACCGGCCACAUUGGGACUGAGCUACGGCCCAGACUCGUACGGGAGGCAGCAGUGGGGAAUAUUGCACAAUGGGCGGAAGGCUGGUGCAGUAACGCCGCGUGCGGGAUGACGGCCUUCGGGUUGUAAACCGCUUUCGCCUGUGACGAAGCGUGAGUGACGGUAAUGGGUAAAGAAGCACCGGCUAACUACGUG
rnacentral:rRNA from 1 species